rnacentral:rRNA from 1 species
UGGCGGACGGGUGAGUAAUGUCUGGGAAACUGCCCGAUGGAGGGGGAUAACUACUGGAAACGGUAGCUAAUACCGCAUAACGUCGCAAGACCAAAGAGGGGACCGUUCGGGCCUCUUGCCAUCGGAUGUGCCCAGAUGGGAUUAGCUAGUAGGUGGGGUAAAGGCUCACCUAGGCGACGAUCCCUAGCUGGUCUGAGAGGAUGACCAGCCACACUGGAACUGAGACACGGUCCAG